GAUGAACGCUGGCGGCGUGCCUAAUACAUGCAAGUCGAGCGAAGAGGGGACGGGUGAGUAAAACGUGGAUAACCUCCUAUAAGACUGGGAUAACUUAGGGAAACCGGAGCUAAACCGGAUAAUUAUAGAUGGAGCUGCGAUGAAUUAGCUAGUUGGUAAGGUAACUGCUUAACAAGGCAAAGAUGCAUAGCCGACCUGAGAGGGUGAUCGGCCACACUGGAACGGAGACAUGGUCCAGACUCCUACGGGAGGCAGCAGUAGGGAAUCUUCCGCAAUGGGCGAAAGCCUGACGGAGCAACGCCGCUUGAGUGAUGAAGGUCUUCGGAUCGUAAAACUCUGUUAUUAGGGAAGCGGUACCUAAUCAGAAAGCCCCUGCUAACUUCGUGCCAGCGGCCGCGGUAAUAC
rnacentral:rRNA from 1 species